AUUAUGAAGGGGUAGAGCAUAGUUACUUCAUAGUUUGAUAAACAGUGUGUGAACAUAGUUUGAUAAACAGUGUGUGAAUGUGUGUGUGUGUCUGUGUAUUUACCUAGUUGUAUUUACCUAGUUGUGCUUUAUGGGAAAAGAGCUAUGCUUGUGCUGUCCCAUCUCCAUAUCUUUUAAUAUCCAACUUUAAUAUCCAUGUAUACUUACUGCAUUUACUAUCUCCUCAUCCAGACUGUUCCAUACAUCAAUACUUCUAUAUGGGAAAGUAUACUUUUUGAUGUCUCUUCUACAAGCACUCCUCUUCAGCCUCUUCCCAUGUCCUCUAGUGUCCUGUGUAUUCCAGACCAUUAAGUUGCUCUGGUCCACCACCUCUACUCCCUCAUAUGCUUUAUAUAUUGCAAUCAAGUCUCCCCUUUCUCUCUUCUUUUCCAAUGUUGGUAGAUGUAGCCUUUCCAGGCUCUUUUCAUAUGAUAAGUCCCUGAUACUUGGUACCAUCUUUGUAGCUGCUCUCUGAACUCUCUCCAACUUCCUUAUAUCCUUUUUCUUGUAUGGCAACCACACUAUUGCUGCAUAUUCUAGUCUAGGUCUUAUCAGCAACACGAUCAUCUUCCUGACCGUGUGUGUGUGAAACAAUGGCACAACAAAGUAUGGAAGUAAGGGAAUAAAGGUACUCAUGGUUUAUAUAUAUGACCAGUUAUUUCUUCUUGGUAAAGAGGGAGACAUUAUCCACUGCUUGAAGCAACACAGGACACAAUGUGUUAGAAAGUCUUGUUAGGAGACAGAGCUCAUGAAUUGAGUGUAGGCUUAUAUAUACAGGAUGUCCUGUGAGUUAAGGUACAUACUUCAGGAUUUCAUACUUAAAGUAAUUCUAAGUCAAGAAUACUAUAUAUACAUAUGCUUUUUUUUUUUUUUUUAUAUAAAUGAAUGUUUUUUUUUUAAUGUGUAAGUAGAUUAAUUAGGUCAGAAGCGGAUGCCAUCGCCUUGCAGACAGACUUAGAUAGAAUGAAUGAAUGGACGGAUAGAUGGCAAAUGCAAUUUAAUAUCAAUAAAUGCAAAGUGCUUAGCGUAGGUAGAGGAAACCCACACAAUAGGUACACAUUAAACACCCAAACUCUGGUAGGUACAGGGUACGAGAAAGAUUUAGGAGUUAUAGUUAGCUCUGAACUCCGUCUAGGGAAACAAUGCAUAGAAGCCAGAAACAAGGCAAAUAGGGUACUAGGAUUCAUUUUUAGGAGUGUUAAAAGUAGAAGGCCGGAAGUAAUAUUAAAGUUAUACUUGGCGCUGGUCAGACCUCAUCUAGACUACGCUGUGCAGUUCUGGUCCCCACAUUACAGGAAAGAUAUAGGUCUAUUAGAAUCAGUACAGAGGAGAAUGACUAAAAGGAUUCAGGGGAUGAGGAGUAUUCCUUACGAAGCGAGGUUGAAGCGGUUAAAUUUACAUUCUCUAGAGAGACGUAGGUUAAGAGGGGACCUGAUAGAAGUCUUUAAGUGGUAUAAGGGUUAUAACAAGGGAGAUGUAAGCAAAAUUCUUAGGAUCAGCAACCAGGGUAGAACAAGAAAUAACGGGUUCAAGCUUGAAAAAUUUAGGUUUAGGAAGGAGAUAGGAAAAAAUUGGUUCUCAAAUAGAGUGGUCGAUGAGUGGAACGGACUCAGUAAUCAUGUAGUUAGUGCUAGGACACUAGAGAGCUUUAAGAGAAGAUUAGACAAGUUUAUGGAUGGGGAUAGCAGAUGGAAAUAGGUAGGUGUGUUUCAUACAGGGACUGCCACGUGUAAGCCUGGUCGCUUCUUGCAGCUUCCCUUAUUUCUUAUGUUCUUAUGUUCUUAUGUGUGUUGCAGGAAUCACUUGCCUGGGUGGGCCUCCACCUCCUUCCUUAGCUGGCUGUGUAGUCAAGUGGUGUUGUGCAGCAGUAAGUGAUCAUUUUUUGUGUACAAUCUACAUCGUCAAAUCCCUAGUCAAAUUCCUACAAGAAACGGUUAACAAAUGACAUUAGACAUACAGGUAACAGCAUUAUAGUGGUUGUUAAAUGCUACUUUUUAAACAUACAUGGCAAAUUACCAGUUUCAUGACAACUGCUCAGUGUUCCUGCCACUCCUGUAAAUGUCCCUUUAAAUUAAACAAUAUUCUUUCUAAGUGGUGACAAAUUGUGCUAUGUUCUGUGAAUUUUGCCCCUUUAUGUAUUUGUGUUUUGUAUUCUUGUACUGAUGGCAGGGCUUUAUAUUGUCAUCUAGGUGAUAAUGUCUUGAGCUGUUCCAAUACAUUCAGGUGCUGCAAGAAGUACUGGGGAUACUCACAGAAAUGCUCACACACUGUGGAGAACACACUGUUAUCUGGGUGUCUUCUGGGUAUCUGUGUGUGUACGAGUAUUCUGUUGCUUCACCCCAGAAUGAAUAUCAUGUCAUGAAUAUUAUCACAUGAAUAUCGUGCUCAGGUAUACUCAAUGUUACUGAAAGACAUCAUCACCAUAGCAAAAAGAUGCACUUUGGCAGUCAGCUGAUUGACA